CCUGUGUUUUUCAUUGUACAUACAAGUGGCAGAGAAAUGUGCGAAGAUAAUCCUUGUCCUUGGAAAUUUUACUGUGUGGUAUGGAAACCGUGUUAUCUCAACCAACUAAAAUCAGAAUGACUUCUCCAAAUGAUAACUCCAGGAUCAUCAGAGACCUCUCCAUGACUCCAGUCAUAAGAAAACUAAUUGGAAUUAUGAAGCACACUUUACUGAAGUUUUAUGGACAACAACC
rnacentral:lncRNA from 1 species